CCCUGUCCUAACAGUGGGCAAAAGGACUGGCCUUUAACAGGCCAGACAAGGGGCAGCUCCUGCCAUAUUCCCAGGAAUUCAAACCAACCAAAUUACCUUCAGGGCAUCUCCAACUGCUGAAAAUCUACCUCCCAGGACUCACCAAGCAGUGACUCCAAACCUAUCUGAUAGCAACUGCCCUACUUGCUGAGAGUUAAUUAGGAGUUGUCUUUGUCCUCUUAAUGAGAGGUCAGCUGCUUCUAACAAUCAAGUCCAGAACUGCAGCACAGAGAUCCAGAUUCAGCUGCUCAGCCCGUCCUGCUGCUGGUAUCCCUCAUCUCACUACCAGGGUGGUGAAGAGGAUACAAGCAAGAAUAUACAAUAAGUAUUUUGAGCUCUUUAAGGGAAAAAAAGUAUUCUAUGUAAAAACAAAAUAACACUGGUAUUUGUUGCUGUUGUUCAGAAUUUCAGUCGUUGUCCACCCCUUUGACCACAUUUUGAGUGUUCUUGGUAAAGAUACCAGAGUGGUUUGCCAUUUCAGACUUACAAAUGAAAAUUAAAGUCAUAUCUUACCUAGCCUUGACAUCCUCUGGCCUCCUUUUCUGGAAGUGAAACUAGGAAGCUCUUACCUGAUGAACAGAGAGGUACAUAAGUAGUGGCAAAAACACUGAACUGACUCUAUUUCAAAGCCUACCACUUGUUCGAUAUGUGACUUUAUCACUUCCCUCUACUGGGCCUUAGUUUUCUCACCUAUAAAAUGAGGAAAUUGGACAUACUCGCUUUGAUUUGAGUUAGAUCACCUGGGAAUCAGAUCUUAGUUUUGCCAUGAGUUACCUGGGUGACCAUACUGGGUGACUACAAGCUCUCUAGGUUUUACUUUUCUCUUUACUCUUCUGUAAAAUGAAGACUAGAUGAGCUCCAAGUUGUCUUUCCACUCUAAACUUAUGAUCCAGUGGCCCAAUGAACCAGUGGCCUGGGAUAGGCCACUUAAAUUCUCUUAGCCUCAGUUUCCUCUUUUGGAAAAUGAGUUGGAUUAACUAGGUGAUACAGUAGAUAGAACAUUGGGCUUGAAAUCAGAAAGACUCAUCAAAUCAGGCCUCAGACACUUACUAGCUAUGUGACCCUGGGCAAGUCACUUAACCCAGUUUGCCUCAGUUUCCUCAUCUGUAAAAUGGCAAACCCUUCCAGUAUCUUUGCCAAGAAAAACACGAAAUGGGGUCAUGAAGAGUUAGACACAACUGAAAGCAAU
rnacentral:lncRNA from 1 species